rnacentral:rRNA from 1 species
UACGUAGGGUGCGAGCGUUAAUCGGAAUUACUGGGCGUAAAGCGUGCGUAGGUGGCCAACUAAGUCAGACGUGAAAUCCCUCAGCUUAACUGGGGAACUGCGUCUGAUACUGGAUGGCUUGAGUUUGGGAGAGGGAUGCGGAAUUCCAGGUGUAGCGGUGAAAUGCGUAGAUAUCUGGAGGAACACCGGUGGCGAAGGCGGCAUCCUGGACCAAUACUGACACUGAGGAGCGAAAGCCAGGGGAGCAAACGGG